AUGGGAAAUGGUUCUUGCUGGCUUGCACAUGCCCACUGUACAGAAGGGGGUUUUGAAGUAGACCAACAGCAGGAGAGGUGGCGCCAUUUUAGAGCAAAUCCUGCACACAAAAUGGUUGUAAGAGACUUGUUAACCCUUUGUGGUCCACAUUCACCCACACAGUCUCUGCUCCAGUGCCUACAGACAGUUGUGCAGCACAGACUUAAAGCGCAUAGCAAGACGAGGAACUCUGACUGAACCACUACACCUCAGCUGAUAAUCCACCAAGGCGAAAUUUCUGGUUUGUGCCUCACGAAGAUCAACGAAGACGUCGCCAGGCAGAGGACAACUCCUGCCGCUUCCUCCUGACAAACAAAGCCGACUAGUAAAGCCUGCGGAUGGGAUCUGUGAAGUGAUUGUUACUGCAAUACGUAACGUAGCGGAGAAUCUCCGACAGCGGAGCACCUCGGAGCGACAUAGAGCCACAAUCUGGUAAGGGUUCGUGCCGAACCGAUGUUGUUAGCAGCUCUGCACCGAUGCUAGCUUGCUAGCUUCAUGCUACGAGAAGCUAAUGCUCCGAUUAGCAGCUAGCGACUGCGGAAAAGGGGGUAAACACACACGUGGCUGGAGCCGCACAAGGCUUCGGUUUUGUGGUGUUUCCUUCUUUAAGGAAGAUGAGUGUGUUCAAGCGUUUUGUCUCGGUUCGCUUGUCAAAGUUCAGACUGGGUAAACCAAACUAGCAGCGAACUAACCCCAACGCUAAGAGACACGCAUAUCUAUCUUCCAGAAGAUAAUCGUUCGGUUUGUAAUACUAAUCUGAAAGAAAACGUUUAAUAAGAGGUCGGUGGGAAACUCAUUGGAAGCUUUUUUGCUCCAAUAUGAGCAUGUCUGCAGCUUUCUAAAACCCCUACACUUCACACAACAGUAACUGAUAGCCCCUGUCCUGGAUCCUGCGAGGUUUUCACAACUGUGACAUGAGUGAUGUGCUUUUGCUGCUGGGGAUUCUCUCAGAAAACUUUAGGUCACUUUAUCUUUUUAAUCUCUCAAGAGCAAAACAAUUCAUCGUGUCUUGCUGGUCAUGCAGCUGAGAUUUUCCCAUAAUGUCACAUCAGCAGUGGAUGACAGAUAUUCCCUGAUCUGCAUCACCUAUAUAGUAUUUUUUUGGCUUACGCUAAAACCCACGAAGUUCAUGAGAUUGACAGAAAUUUGAAUGUUGAUAAAUUAAG
rnacentral:lncRNA from 1 species